UCUCUCCCUCUUCUCUGCAACUCCGGCCACCUCUUGAUUCCGGCCACCUGGGAACGAACAAGUGCCACCGCUGGACUCCUCUACUCCUACCCAACCUCCCCACGGCGAUAACUCACGGCGGUUUGGACGGAAAACGAAGAAUCAAGCCCGGAAACUUUAAUGUAGCAGUUUGAGUCAACGCCGAUUUCUCUCGAUUCCGACCAUCUCCGGCCACCAAACCGGCGUCGAAGGUUCGGUUUUUGCCAAGGAUCAUUUUCCCCCUAGCCUUGAGCCACGAUUUGCAGUGUAGAGGAAGAAUCGACGAUUGGAAGAUUACGGUCACUAUUCACAGUUUGAGUUCAAGCUUCUCCUUAAUUGUUGAGGAUGAUGUUGCGAGCUACGGCUAGAUGAAGGAACUCGUUUACAUGGUCGCCCAAUAGUACUUUUGCAGGCGAAUUAGUUGAGGUCGGGCAUACACGAAAUUGAGGCAUAGUCAACAACAUGGCUUCCGCAUCUGCCUUUGAAUUAGGUUUUCCUCAUAUACCUUUCUGUGAGAAUUGCUCUGAUUACCUAUGUGAUUUAUGUUAUUCAAGUUGAGAUGUGUGUUUGUGAA